rnacentral:rRNA from 1 species
UUAAGCGACUAAGCGUACACGGUGGAUGCCCUGGCAGUCAGAGGCGAUGAAGGACGUGCUAAUCUGCGAUAAGCGUCGGUGAGGUGAUAUGAACCGUUAUAACCGGCGAUUUCCGAAUGGGGAAACCCAGUGUGUUUCGACACACUAUCAUUAACUGAAUCCAUAGGUUAAUGAGGCGAACCGGGGGGAACUGAAACAUCUAAGUACCCCCGAGGAAAAGAAAUCAACCGAGAUUCCCCCAGUAGCGGCGAGCGAACGGGGAGGAGCCCAGAGCCUGAAUCAGUGUGUGUGUUAGUGGAAGCGUCUGGAAAGGCGUGCGAUACAGGGUGACAGCCCCGUACACAAAAAUGCACAUAUUGUGAGCUCGAUGAGUAGGGCGGGACACGUGGUAUCCUGUCUGAAUAUGGGGGGACCAUCCUCCAAGGCUAAAUACUCCUGACUGACCGAUAGUGAACCAGUACCGUGAGGGAAAGGCGAAAAGAACCCCGGCGAGGGGAGUGAAAAAGAACCUGAAACCGUGUACGUACAAGCAGUGGGAGCCUCUUUAUGGGGUGACUGCGUACCUUUUGUAUAAUGGGUCAGCGACUUAUAUUCUGUAGCAAGGUUAACCGAAUAGGGGAGCCGAAGGGAAACCGAGUCUUAACUGGGCGUUAAGUUGCAGGGUAUAGACCCGAAACCCGGUGAUCUAGCCAUGGGCAGGUUGAAGGUUGGGUAACACUAACUGGAGGACCGAACCGACUAAUGUUGAAAAAUUAGCGGAUGACUUGUGGCUGGGGGUGAAAGGCCAAUCAAACCGGGAGAUAGCUGGUUCUCCCCGAAAGCUAUUUAGGUAGCGCCUCGUGAAUUCAUCUCCGGGGGUAGAGCACUGUUUCGGCAAGGGGGUCAUCCCGACUUACCAACCCGAUGCAAACUGCGAAUACCGGAGAAUGUUAUCACGGGAGACACACGGCGGGUGCUAACGUCCGUCGUGAAGAGGGAAACAACCCAGACCGCCAGCUAAGGUCCCAAAGUCAUGGUUAAGUGGGAAACGAUGUGGGAAGGCCCAGACAGCCAGGAUGUUGGCUUAGAAGCAGCCAUCAUUUAAAGAAAGCGUAAUAGCUCACUGGUCGAGUCGGCCUGCGCGGAAGAUGUAACGGGGCUAAACCAUGCACCGAAGCUGCGGCAGCGACACUAUGUGUUGUUGGGUAGGGGAGCGUUCUGUAAGCCUGUGAAGGUGGCCUGUGAGGGUUGCUGGAGGUAUCAGAAGUGCGAAUGCUGACAUAAGUAACGAUAAAGCGGGUGAAAAGCCCGCUCGCCGGAAGACCAAGGGUUCCUGUCCAACGUUAAUCGGGGCAGGGUGAGUCGACCCCUAAGGCGAGGCCGAAAGGCGUAGUCGAUGGGAAACAGGUUAAUAUUCCUGUACUUGGUGUUACUGCGAAGGGGGGACGGAGAAGGCUAUGUUGGCCGGGCGACGGUUGUCCCGGUUUAAGCGUGUAGGCUGGUUUUCCAGGCAAAUCCGGAAAACCAAGGCUGAGGCGUGAUGACGAGGCACUACGGUGCUGAAGCGACAAAUGCCCUGCUUCCAGGAAAAGCCUCUAAGCAUCAGGUAACAUCAAAUCGUACCCCAAACCGACACAGGUGGUCAGGUAGAGAAUACCAAGGCGCUUGAGAGAACUCGGGUGAAGGAACUAGGCAAAAUGGUGCCGUAACUUCGGGAGAAGGCACGCUGAUAUGUAGGUGAAGCGACUUGCUCGUGGAGCUGAAAUCAGUCGAAGAUACCAGCUGGCUGCAACUGUUUAUUAAAAACACAGCACUGUGCAAACACGAAAGUGGACGUAUACGGUGUGACGCCUGCCCGGUGCCGGAAGGUUAAUUGAUGGGGUUAGCGGUAACGCGAAGCUCUUGAUCGAAGCCCCGGUAAACGGCGGCCGUAACUAUAACGGUCCUAAGGUAGCGAAAUUCCUUGUCGGGUAAGUUCCGACCUGCACGAAUGGCGUAAUGAUGGCCAGGCUGUCUCCACCCGAGACUCAGUGAAAUUGAACUCGCUGUGAAGAUGCAGUGUACCCGCGGCAAGACGGAAAGACCCCGUGAACCUUUACUAUAGCUUGACACUGAACAUUGAGCCUUGAUGUGUAGGAUAGGUGGGAGGCUUUGAAGUGUGGACGCCAGUCUGCAUGGAGCCGACCUUGAAAUACCACCCUUUAAUGUUUGAUGUUCUAACGUUGGCCCGUAAUCCGGGUUGCGGACAGUGUCUGGUGGGUAGUUUGACUGGGGCGGUCUCCUCCUAAAGAGUAACGGAGGAGCACGAAGGUUGGCUAAUCCUGGUCGGACAUCAGGAGGUUAGUGCAAUGGCAUAAGCCAGCUUGACUGCGAGCGUGACGGCGCGAGCAGGUGCGAAAGCAGGUCAUAGUGAUCCGGUGGUUCUGAAUGGAAGGGCCAUCGCUCAACGGAUAAAAGGUACUCCGGGGAUAACAGGCUGAUACCGCCCAAGAGUUCAUAUCGACGGCGGUGUUUGGCACCUCGAUGUCGGCUCAUCACAUCCUGGGGCUGAAGUAGGUCCCAAGGGUAUGGCUGUUCGCCAUUUAAAGUGGUACGCGAGCUGGGUUUAGAACGUCGUGAGACAGUUCGGUCCCUAUCUGCCGUGGGCGCUGGAGAACUGAGGGGGGCUGCUCCUAGUACGAGAGGACCGGAGUGGACGCAUCACUGGUGUUCGGGUUGUCAUGCCAAUGGCACUGCCCGGUAGCUAAAUGCGGAAGAGAUAAGUGCUGAAAGCAUCUAAGCACGAAACUUGCCCCGAGAUGAGUUCUCCCUGAGACUUAGAGUCUCCUGAAGGAACGUUGAAGACGACGACGUUGAUAGGCCGGGUGUGUAAGCGCAGCGAUGCGUUGAGCUAACCGGUACUAAUGAACCGUGAGGCUUAACCUU